rnacentral:snoRNA from 1 species
UCCGAAGAUGAAACGGCACUGGGCUCCGACGGCAUUUGAAAAAAGAUGUUCGGUCAUGAUUGGAUGCGCCUUUUUUGCGGCAGGCCUAGAAAACCUCGCCCACUGAGA